UCAGGAGGUAGUUUAUAAAAAAUAUUAAUUUUGGGGAUUAAUGAAAAAAUAUUAAUUUUUCUCUUGAA
rnacentral:tRNA from 1 species